GACGAACGCUGGCGGCGUGCUUAACACAUGCAAGUCGAACGGAAAGGCCCUGCUUUUGUGGGGUGCUCGAGUGGCGAACGGGUGAGUAACACGUGAGUAACCUGCCCUUGACUUUGGGGUAACUUCAGGAAACUGGGGCUAAUACCGGAUAGGAGCUCCUGCUGCAUGGUGGGGGUUGGAAAGUUUCGGCGGUUGGGGAUAGACUCGCGGCUUAUCAGCUUGUUGGUGGGGUAGUGGCUUACCAAGGCUUUGACGGGUAGCCGGCCUGAGAGGGUGACCGGCCACAUUGGGACUGAGAUACGGCCCAGACUGCUACGGGAGGCAGCAGUGGGGAAUAUUGCACAAUGGGCGGAAGCCUGAUGCAGCAACGCCGCGUGCGGGAUGACGGCCUUCGGGUUGUAAACCGCUUUCGCCUGUGACGAAGCGUGAGUGACGGUAAUGGGUAAAGAAGCACCGGCUAACUACGUG
rnacentral:rRNA from 1 species